CUGGCACAACGGCUUCCUGACGUGCGCAGUGUAUUUCAUUGGAGCA
rnacentral:ncRNA from 1 species